CAGUGCCUACCGCAGGAUAAACACUCAGUGCCUGCUGACUGCCUUAGUCCAAUUUCUUUGUAGGUACAUGAUCUUUUCAUAUCCCUCGCUCACGUGUUGGAUGCGUGAUUUUUUUCUUAUUUAUGUUAACGAGCUCUUUACAUAUUGUAGCCAUUCUUCCUUGGUGUCAUAUUUCCUGACAUUUCACUUUGUUCAACAAAAUUUAGGCUAUUGGAAAGUUUGUGGGUUUUGACAUCUGUUCCUUCCCCCCAGAACUGUCUUGGGAUCCAUUAGAGUCACCGCUUUGCCUCAAUUGUCCAAGACAAAGCAGGCAGAAGCCAGAAUUUGGAGGUCUACCAGUUGGAAUAAUUUAGUUGAUCUUGUCUCGGGCUCCGUCAGCUUUCCCUGAUGUCAUGGCUCUCCAGGGACUUGGCUCAUCGAAGCAUGUGGAAUAAUUCUUCCGAAACGAAGGACUCAGAAUCUGCCCGUUCUGGGUGACUUUUGCUUCAAACGAGAUAACCGUGUUUCAGAAAUCCCGUCAAGAAAAUUUGCAGGAACUUUAAAUCCAGCAAUGUGACCAGAGACUAGGCUAAGGUGACAGGAGGUGAGCACUGGGCUAGAGCGUCAGUCAAAAGGGAAGGCACAAGCGAUGCGGGAGGCAAAGACAACUCGUAGAACGGAUGGGUCGGACGGUGAGUGUGCUUAACUCUUCGAGAAACUUCCAAGCUGUUUUCCAAACUGGUUUGACUGUUUUGCAUACCCACCAGCCAUGUAGGAGAAUUCCAUGUGUUCCACACCUUGCCAAUACUUGCUACCGUCAGAUGUUUUAACUUCAACGUUUCUACAGGCGUGUAGUGGUAUUUCAUUGUGGUUGUGAUCGGCAGUUCUCUGCAUGUGAGACUGCACAUUUUGCAUGUGCUUUUGGGCCCUCUGUAUAUUUCUUUUGUGAAGUGUUUGUUGAAAUGUUUGCUUAAUUUCAAUUGGGUUACAUGACUCACUGAGUUUAUUUGCUAAAGAACUGUUAAGAAAUUUUGCAUCUGUGUUGAGGGAUAUUGGUCUUUAGUUUUCUUUUGUUGUAAGACCGCUGUCUGGUUUUGGUGUCAGAGUAAUAAAAUGAUUUGGAAGUGA